rnacentral:rRNA from 1 species
AUUGAACGCUGGCGGCAUGCCUUACACAUGCAAGUCGAACGGUAACAGGUCUUCGGAUGCUGACGAGUGGCGAACGGGUGAGUAAUACAUCGGAACGUGCCUAGUAGUGGGGGAUAACUACUCGAAAGAGUGGCUAAUACCGCAUGAGAUCUACGGAUGAAAGCAGGGGAUCGCAAGACCUUGUGCUACUAGAGCGGCCGAUGGCAGGUUAGGUAGUUGGUGGGAUAAAAGCUUACCAAGCCGACGAUCUUUAGCUGGUCUGAGAGGACGAUCAGCCACACUGGGACUGAGACACGGCCCAGACUCCUACGGGAGGCAGCAGUGGGGAAUUUUGGACAAUGGGCGCAAGCCUGAUCCAGCAAUGCCGCGUGCAGGAUGAAGGCCUUCGGGUUGUAAACUGCUUUUGUACGGAACGAAAAGCCCCGGGUUAAUACCCUGGGGUCAUGACGGUACCGUAAGAAUAAGCACCGGCUAACUACGUGCCAGCCGCCGCAGUAA